UACGAGUGCCCCAAGCGUUAUCCGGAAUCAUUGGGCGUAAAGGGUGUGUAGGCGGUGCUCUAAGUCUGUUGUGAAAUCUCCCGGCUUAACUGGGAGGGUGCGGCGGAGACUGGAGUGCUAGAGUGUGGGAGAGGUAAGCGGAAUUCCUGGUGUAGCGGUGAAAUGCGUAGAUAUCAGGAGGAACACCUGUGGUGUAGACAGCUUACUGGACCACGACUGACGCUGAGACACGAAAGCGUGGGUAGCAAACAGG
rnacentral:rRNA from 1 species